rnacentral:tRNA from 1 species
GCCGGCGUACUCCAACGGCAGAGAGAAGGCACUUAGAAUGCCUCCAGUGCGGGUUCGAAUCCCGCCGCCGGCAC